UACGAAGGGGGCUAGCGUUGCUCGGAAUUACUGGGCGUAAAGGGCGCGUAGGCGGAUCGUUAAGUCUUCUGUGAAAUCUACGGGCUUAGCCUGUAACGUGCAGAGGAAACUAGCGGGCUUGAGUGUCGGAGAGGAUAGGGGAAUACCCAGUGUAGAGGUGAAAUUCGUAGAGAUUGGGUGGAACACCAGUGGCGAAGGCGCCUAUCUGGCUGACAACUGACGCUGAGACUCGAAAGCAUGGGGAGCAAACAGG
rnacentral:rRNA from 1 species